rnacentral:rRNA from 1 species
UACGAAGGGGGCUAGCGUUGUUCGGAAUUGACUGGGCGUAAAGCGAGCGUAGGUCGCUCGACAAGUCAGUGGUAGAAAGCCCAGAGCUUAACUCUGGAACUGCCAUUGAACUGUCGAGCUGGAAUCUCAGAGGGGAUAGCGGAAUUCCAAAUGUAGGGGUGAAAUCCGUAGAUAUUUGGAGGAACACCGGUGGCGAAGGCGGCUAAUCUGGAUGAGUAUUAGACACUGAGGCUCGAAAGCGCGGGGUCAAACAGG